rnacentral:snRNA from 1 species
GUGCUCGCUUCGGCAACACAUAUACUAAAAUUGGAACGAUACAGAGAAGAUUAGCAUGGCCCCUGUGCAAGGAUGACACACAAAUUCGUGAAGAGCUCCAUAUUUGG